UACGUAGGGGCAAGCGUUGUCCGGAAUCAUUGGGCGUAAAGAGCGUGUAGGCGGCCCGAUAAGUCCGCUGUGAAAGUCCAGGGCUCAACCCUGGAAUGCCGGUGGAUACUGUCGGGCUCGAAUCCGGAAGAGGUGAGUGGAAUUCCUGGAUGUAGCGGUGAAAUGCGCAGAUAUCAGGAGGAACACCAAUGGCGAAGGCAGCUCACUGGGACGGUAUUGACGCUGAGACGCGAAGCGUGGGGAGCAAACAGG
rnacentral:rRNA from 1 species